UACAGAGGUGGCAAGCGUUGUUCGGAAUUACUGGGCGUAAAGGGCGCGUAGGUGGCCUUCUUAGUCAGACGUGAAAUCCCCAGGCUUAACCUGGGAACUGCGUCUGAUACUGUGCGACUAGAGUGCGGAAGGGGCAACUGGAAUUCUCGGUGUAGCGGUGAAAUGCGUAGAUAUCGAGAGGAACACCUGCGGCGAAGGCGGGUUGCUGGGCCGACACUGACGCUGAUGCGCGAAAGCCAGGGGAGCGAACGGG
rnacentral:rRNA from 1 species